rnacentral:rRNA from 1 species
CCCCUUAGAUGUCCUGGGCUGCACGCGCGCUACACUGGAAGUUACGGAUUGAGAUACUACCUUGUCCGAAAUGGUCCGGGUAAUCACCUAAAAGCUUGUCAUAAUUGGAAUGGAUUAUUGUAACUAGUAAUCCUGAACGAGGAAUUCCUAGUAAGUCCCAGUCAACAGCUGGUACUGAUUACGUCCCUGCCCUUUGUACACACCGCCCGUCGCUACUACUGAUUGGACGUUUAAGCAAGAUUUUUAAACACUGACAGUGUGUAGUUCACGCUAUACUACAGUGAGAAGAAGAAGAUCGAGCUUACUUGUCUAGAGGAAGUAAAAGUCGUAACA